rnacentral:rRNA from 1 species
AGAGUUUGAUCCUGGCUCAGAACGAACGCUGGCGGCGUGCCUAAUACAUGCAAGUCGCACGAGAAAGUCCUUCGGGAUGAGUAUAGUGGCGCACGGGAAAGUAAUGCAUAGGAACGUACCAUUCGGUGGGGAAUAACCACGGGAAACUGUGGCUAAUACCGCAUAAUGACGUGAGUCUAAAGCCGGCCUCUAUUUAUAAGCUGGCGCCGAUCGAGCGGCCUAUGUCCCAUUAGCUAGUUGGUAGGGUAAAAGCCUACCAAGGCGACGAUGGGUAGCUGGUCUGAGAGGAUGAUCAGCCUCACUGGGACUGAGACACGGCCCAGACUCCUACGGGAGGCAGCAGUAGGGAAUUUUGCACAAUGGGCGCAAGCCUGAUGCAGCAACGCCGCGUGAGUGAAGAAGGCUCUUGGGUUGUAAAGCUCUUUCGGCUGGGAAGAAGGGGUUGCCUGCGAACAGUUGGCAAUUCUGACGGUACCAGAAGAAGAAGCACCUGCUAACUUCGUGCCAGCAGCAGCGGUAAUACGAAGGGUGCAAGCGUUGUUCGGAAUUACUGGGCGUAAAGCGCGCGUAGGCGGGUCGGUAAGUCGGUUGUGAAAGCCCUGGGCUUAACCUGGGAAUUGCAGUCGAAACUACCGAUCUUGAAUGUCUGAGAGGAUGGCGGAAUUCCCGGUGUAGUAGUGAAAUACGUAGAUUUCGGGAAGAACACCUGAGGCGAA